UGGGGAAUUUUGGACAAUGGGCGAAAGCCUGAUCCAGCAAUGCCGCGUGUGUGAAGAAGGCCUUCGGGUUGUAAAGCACUUUUGUCCGGAAAGAAACCCUUGGCUCUAAUACAGUCGGGGGAUGACGGUACCGGAAGAAUAAGCACCGGCUAACUACGUGCCAGCAGCCGCGGUAAUACGUAGGGUGCAAGCGUUAAUCGGAAUUACUGGGCGUAAAGCGUGCGCAGGCGGUUUGCUAAGACCGAUGUGAAAUCCCCGGGCUCAACCUGGGAACUGCAUUGGUGACUGGCAGGCUAGAGUAUGGCAGAGGGGGGUAGAAUUCCACGUGUAGCAGUGAAAUGCGUAGAGAUGUGGAGGAAUACCGAUGGCGAAGGCAGCCCCCUGGGCCAAUACUGACGCUCAUGCACGAAAGCGUGGGGAGCAAACAGGAUUAGAUACCCUGGUAGUCCACGCCCUAAACGAUGUCAACUAGUUGUUGGGGAUUCAUUCCUUAGUAACGUAGCUAACGCGUGAAGUUGACCGCCUGGGGAGUACGGUCGCAAGAUUAAAACUUAAAUGAAUUGACGGGGUCAUAGCUGUUUCCU
rnacentral:rRNA from 1 species